GGACGUUCACCUCUAUCUUGGAGGCGCAACCAACUGAUCCACGGAACGGGGGACAGU
ncrna:unclassified sequences Glutamine-II riboswitch (downstream peptide RNA)